ensembl:lncRNA
CGGGAGGUCUAGGUCUGGACAUGUUACUGUAUAAGGGUGCCCUCUAGUGUUAGUCUUUUAAAACAGUCCCUUUGUGUUGACAUUGUAUAAGAGAGUGUGCCACUGGGCGUCUGACAUUAAAAAGGAUACAAAUGUUUUUUAUUUUACUUUAUUUUCUCAUUGUUAUAUUUAACAACGAGGUAUCAUUGUUAUAUGAUGUCUAAUUGUUAGCGUUCAUGGAGCUUGCACAACAUUGGAACAAUCAGCAACUCUGGUUCAGUUAAGUGUCUGUCUUAGUGCAGAGCACGCCUCAGCCUGUCUCCUAGCAAUAUUCGUAGCUUGUGGCUACACUAAACCAGCUUACCAGGGACUUGGCUGCUUUGAAGAGUUUUAUUUACAAUUGACAUCUAACAACCCGACCAGCUGUUGUUUCCCCCAAAAAAUCCACCUAGUUUUCCGUCCACAUCCACCCACCAAAAACAAAGCGUGUCCUUAAAAUCCAAGCUCUGAGAUAGUGGUGUCACAACGUCCUUAAAACAGUUGACCUGCCCUCUCCCGACCGCCACUGUGCUAAGCAGGUCUCCAAGCAACCUUCCGCCACGGCAUGCAUCGUCUGAACCAGCAGCACGUUCACACUGAGGACCAGAGGCAGCGUGCACAGGGAGAGCACUCCCACCAGCCCUGUGGUGAUGAUCAGCCCUAGGCUGGGGACGACGUGCUGUGGCCCAGGCCUCCCUCCGUCUCCCGGUCCGGCCCUCGCCGUGGAUCUCUGGGCGCAGACUCCGGUUCAGGCAGGGCGGGAUGGGAGCAGUGAGCCACUGGUGGCUCGCUGGGCCAGCCGCCGGCCGUGGGAGCCAUGCAGCUGCUGCUUGUUUCCUCUGGGUCAACAGACCCGAGCUCCGGCUCCACCACCAGCCAGGGCUCAGUCGUCGGGGACAAUGGCCUGACAGGUGCUGGGACAAGGUGCUGCCAACGGCUGCUCUUAUUGUUGUUGCUGUUUAUAUUGUUGUUGUUAUCACCCACAUCUGUGUUGUGUUUAUCCCGGCGCACCCAGGCAGCCAGCUCCACAGCCAGGGAGAGCAGCAGCAGUAGGCUGAGGACGGCUUCCCCCCAGAAGGGCUCCACGGGGAAGGGGAACAUUCUGGGCAGACAGGCGCUGAAGGAGCCCCUUGAAUGUAAACACUCGGCGACCCACAGCUCCUCCAGACUCCGCCCGCUCCAUCCCACACACAGCCCCGACACCAUCCACACAGCGAGGCAGCACAGGUAGCCAAUAGCGUGGCUCAGCUGCUUCCAUUUCCCCUGCCCUCUGUCCGCGUCAGCAGCACCCAGUGGGCGCGCGUCGCCCUUCUCCGAGGCUACGCUACUCUCUAGCACCUCGCACCCUACGUCAUCCAUGCUCUGGCAGGCGGCGCCGUCGCCGUCGCACGCCCACACUUUUCUCAGGGCAAUCUCCGCUGCAACCAGGGGCGUGGCUAGGAGCAGCGCCGCCGCGUAGGUGUGUCCGAGGAAGAGUAGGAAGCGCAGGGCGAUGAGGUCGCUGUGAGGGGCCAGCUGGGGCGGCCAGGGAUCAGCAGUCCACAAGAAGAGGAGGAAACCUGCCGAGCACAGACACAACCAGGCUGUGACUGAGAGGGGAGGAACGUCACAUGCAGAGCGGGGGGAUAUUUUGCCUCAUGGCUAUACGGUGUUGGGUUCUGAGUCAAAAAAGGUCCAGGGUCUGGCCUUUGGCCUCUUAAGCAAGCCACACCCCACCCGAUGCCUAAGAAACAUGGUAGCGUCCAAAAGACAACUAAAACACUUAGAUAAAAGCCAACGAAAACUAGUAAAGUGCAUACAAAUAAAAUGAAGUAGAGUGGAUGGCAGUGGACUGGAAGACUGGAAGACUGUUGUUUGGUGUGCAGACGCCUACCUGUGACCAGGAUAUCUGUGAACAUCAGCAGGCAGCAGAAGCAGAAGCUGAUGAUCCCCGGGAUGGCAGACAGGAAGAACAGGCUGCAGGCCAGUUUACACACUCCCAGGACCAACGCACCCUCCAGCACUCCCGCCAUGGCUACGGCGCAGUCACAAACACACACACAAAAAACAAAAAGAGGAAACACGAGAAAAUAGUCACACAAUUAGCCCAUAGACAAACCACACAACACACAAGCCAACAUGUCUACGUGCUGCAACAUGUAGUAAUACGGUUUAGACUGUGUGCUGGCAGGUCAGAGGCAGCUUACCUUCAGUGGUUCACAUCAUUUGUUUGUAGACAAAACCCUACCCAAUCAAUAUUUGUUUGUGUACAUUUGCUUUGGACCCUGAACAGCACCUCCACUUGCGUUGCAAUUAUUUCUUGGUGCCUCACAAUAAAUAGUCCCACAACGGGGUUGUAUACAGUAUCUUCUACAAUUCCGGCUAUUAAAAUGUGAUGCAUUGCACACUGUUUGACAUUAUCAUCCAGCAUCAAGAAGAACAAUAAAAACGUCCUCUAGUAGGGAACUCAGCAGAGAGCCUCAUACAAACUCUGUUGCCAUACCAUGAUUCCCACGGUAUUUACUGGUCUUUUGGCUCUUUAUGUAAACUCACGCAAACACAACAUGUCAUCAAACUCUGACAUUCAAAAUCCUAUUGGACUGCAGUGCUCAGCCAGGAAAGUGUUUUCUACAUGGAAGGUCUAUGUUCUCAACAUUGCCUGUCAACAUAACAGCUAGGCUGAUACUUUACUGUGAAAAUAAGUGUGUGUGUGUGUGUGUGUGUGUGUGUGAAAAUGUGUGUGUGUGUGUGUGUGUGUGUGUGUGUGUGUGUGUGUGUGUGUGUGUGUGUGUGUGUGUGUGUGUGUGUGUGGUGU